GUGCUUGUUUAGGUAGGAUAUAUACCAGUAUUAGAACUAUACAGAGACUAGCAUGAUCCCUGCCAAGGAUGACAUACAGAUUUGUGAAGCAUUCCCUGCUUUU
ensembl:snRNA U6 U6 spliceosomal RNA